CAGAAAAAAAGCACAACCUUCGAGACUCACAAUUACUUUCACGGUCGUUUGCGGUUUUGAUGCUCGUAGUACAGUGGUUGGCUUUUGGCUUUCGCAUUUACUUCGACUUUGGAUACGCAACUGUGAAAAGCGCGGCAGCGGUAGCAGCGGUUACUCCUCAGAAUCUGAAACCACGCCGGCGGUUCUUUAUUCCAUGACGGCGGCAAGCCUGCGACCGUCGAAACGCGAGUGGGAUUUUUCUCUUGCGUCCGUUGCGCCUGUGAUACCCGACAACUGUAGCAGCAUGUCAUCUGAUCCGACUUCAACUGAAGGCUCGCCGACUGAUGCGGAAGCAGUUUACCUCGUUUCGCACGGGCCACCAAAGAAAAUUGUGAAGUUCACAGGCGCCCGGAAGCUCGCCGACCUUCACGAAAGUGUGCGGAUGGGUGGGUUCGCGCACCUGAUGACAUGCAAUGAUCUCCUAAUACAGCAUGCUGGAAGCUGCACAGAGGAGUUGGCAAGGGGGCACAAGGAAGCAAUGCCCCGUUGCUGUCCGUAGGGUGAACGCAAGGCGGCUCGUGGCGGCCGCAAUUUCUACGCUGCGCUUUUCAUCUCUGAAGCCAUGCGCAGCAGCGUGCAGUCGUCAUGUUCAGCAAAGCAGUGCAAAGAUGCAAAAGGCGUGAGCGCCAUCAUGGUUCUACCAUUUCUUGUCAAUGAGCGAGGGGACGACAUGUUCACAAAAAUGGUUAGAACUUUGAGCUGCUUACACGACCAAGU